AAAUGUUUCCCAUUUGAUGGUAGAUGUCCUUGUAGCAUGUUGUAAAGCUUUAGAUUUACCCAUUACAGAAGUGUUAGAUUUUUCGCAGGAUUCCACAGAUGACAUGUAAAAUGAAUAUUUGCCUUACCUGUUUAUUAUUUUAAUAACGGAACAUGUGCUGACUUGUAAAGCUUUAGAUUUACCCAUUACAGGAGUGUUAGAUUUUUCGCAAGAUUCCACAGAUGUCAUCUAAAAUGAAUAUUUGCCUUACCUGUUUAUUAUUUUAAUAAUGGAACAUGUGCUGACUAUCUGCAGAGAAAUGGGGUCUUAUUUAUUAGUGGUGAUGUUCAUUUUGGAGAAAUUGCUCGUUUUGACUGUGGUGCUCAAU
rnacentral:lncRNA from 1 species